GGGAAUUAAGAGCUUGCUCUUAUGAAGUUAGCGGCGGACGGGUGAGUAACACGUGGGUAACCUGCCCAUAAGACUGGGAUAACUCCGGGAAACCGGGGCUAAUACCGGAUAACAUUUUGAACCGCAUGGUUCGAAAUUGAAAGGCGGCUUCGGCUGUCACUUAUGGAUGGACCCGCGUCGCAUUAGCUAGUUGGUGAGGUAACGGCUCACCAAGGCAACGAUGCGUAGCCGACCUGAGAGGGUGAUCGGCCACACUGGGACUGAGACACGGCCCAGACUCCUACGGGAGGCAGCAGUGGUCAUGCAUUUUUUUCCUGGAA
rnacentral:rRNA from 1 species